UGAGGGAUAUUGCACAAUGGGGGAAACCCUGAUGCAGCGACGCCGCGUGGGCGAUGAAGGUCUUCGGAUUGUAAAGCCCUUUUCUGUGUGACGAGCAAGGACGGUAGCACAGGAAUAAGUCUCGGCUAACUACGUGCCAGCAGCCGCGGUAAAACGUAGGAGGCAAGCGUUAUCCGGAGUUACUGGGCGUAAAGGGCGCGCAGGCGGUUGGGUAAGUGGAUGGUGAAAGACCCGUGCUAAACGCGGGGGACGCCGUUCAGACUGCUCGGCUAGAGCCAUCUAGAGGGACGUGGAAUUCGGGGUGUAGCGGUGAAAUGUGUAGAGAUCCCGAGGAACACCAGCGGUGAAGACGGCGUCCUGGGGGUGAGCUGACGCUGAGGCGCGAAGGCGUGGGGAGCCA
rnacentral:rRNA from 1 species